GACGAACGCUGGCGGCGUGCCUAACACAUGCAAGUCGAACGGAACUUCUUUAAAGGAUUUCUUCGGAAUGAAUUUGAUUAAGUUUAGUGGCGGACGGGUGAGUAACGCGUGAGUAACCUGCCUCUGAGAGGGGAAUAACAUUCUGAAAAGAAUGCUAAUACCGCAUAACAUAUAUUUUAUCGCACGGUAGAUAUAUCAAAGAUUUAUCGCUUAGAGAUGGACUCGCGUCCGAUUAGUUAGUUGGUGAGGUAACGGCUCACCAAGACUGCGAUCGGUAGCCGGACUGAGAGGUUGAACGGCCACGAUUGGGACUGAGACACGGCCCA
rnacentral:rRNA from 1 species